rnacentral:snoRNA from 1 species
GUUGAAAUCUAUCCUAAUGGGGCUUUCUCUAUAGACCCACAUUGUUGAAACGUCUCAUAGAGUAACUCUGUGGUUUGCUUUACUCGCAGAACUGCCAUUGGUUGGAUCUGUGAGGAAGAACUACAAGACAACU